GAUGAACGCUGGCGGCGUGCCUAAUACAUGCAAGUCGAGCGAACAGAUAAGGAGCUUGCUCCUUUGACGUUAGCGGCGGACGGGUGAGUAACACGUGGGUAACCUACCUAUAAGACUGGGAUAACUUCGGGAAACCGGAGCUAAUACCGGAUAACAUUUGGAACCGCAUGGUUCUAAAGUGAAAGAUGGUUUUGCUAUCACUUAUAGAUGGACCCGCGCCGUAUUAGCUAGUUGGUAAGGUAACGGCUUACCAAGGCGACGAUACGUAGCCGACCUGAGAGGGUGAUCGGCCACACUGGAACUGAGACACGGUCCAGACUCCUACGGGAGGCAGCAGUAGGGAAUCUUCCGCAAUGGGCGAAAGCCUGACGGAGCAACGCCGCGUGAGUGAUGAAGGGUUUCGGCUCGUAAAACUCUGUUAUUAGGGAAGAAUAAAUGUGUAAGUAACUGUGCACGUCUUGACGGUACCUAAUCAGAAAGCCACGGCUAACUACGUG
rnacentral:rRNA from 1 species